rfam:Camelus ferus unplaced genomic scaffold scaffold518, whole genome shotgun sequence.
GAGAGUAUGGCUCAAGUGGUAGAGAACAUGUUUAGCGUGCAUGAGGUCCUGGGUUCAAUCCCCAGUACCUCCC